CUGCAGAGAGAGGCAGGGGGGCAUUAAUCCCAAUCCACUGUAUGCCACAUAGAGCCCUCAAAGUGUUCCUGAAGGCAUGGASAAGACAAGGACCUUGCCACUGACAAAGGCCAGUACUCCGUGGUUCUGCAGCACAUGGAGCACCUGGCCRUAGCAUCAACAACAGCGGAAGUUCAAGGGCGGGCAAAGAAGGGGAAUCUGAAAGGCUUCACGGACCUCACCAAUCCCCAGCUGAAGCAGCACAUGGAGGCGGCCAUCAACAUCAGCGUGGAUGAUCUCAAAGCCAGGUUUGGUGGUUUGCUGAUGGAUGAGGGUGUCCAGACCCCAGUGGAGUCUUUCAGAGUGCUAAACCCUGACACAUGACCAGAAGACCAGACCAGCCUUCUCACCUUUGGCGAUGAUGGUGUGGCAGACCUGAUGAGGCAUUUCAAGAAGCCUCUAUAGAUCAGGGUGUAACAUGGCUGUAAUCCAGGAUGAGUGGCAGGGCUGAACAUCCUGGUCAGACACAAUUUCAAGGACAACUCCUGCAGUGGCCUGUGGGAGACCAUGUUGACAAAGGACCCCUACAGGCACAAUUGCAAGAACAUACUGGAGUUGGUGCUGCCCAUUUCAGCCGCCCAGUGUGAGCGAGGCUUCUCUGCGCAGAACCGGAUUAAGAAUUCGACAAGAAGCUGCCUUGGGGUCUCCACCACCGAAGACCUGAUGAGGAUCAGCCUGGAGGGGCCUCCUGUCGAGGAGUUGGAUCCCACUCCUGCCGUGGACCGCUGGCUGACCUCGUGCCAGACGGCCAACAUACAAAAGCAGCUGGACAACUGAUAUCCUUUGCGUCUAGUAGCCAUGGGUCAAUGUGUGGUUUUGGUGGUAUGUGCUGUUCCACAGAUGUGUCCCUUAGUACACGCUCACACACACACACACGCAGUAUAAAUAUGUAUGUAAUAAAUUGUUUGUUAAUAAACUGUGUUACAUUUUUCACUGUGCUCCUAAAUUUCUUUGUGUGCUCCUACAUUUUUUCCAUUUAGGAGCGCAUGUACUCCUUGGGAAAAAAGAUAGCGUAGAGCCCUGGGCAGACCACGUGUAUGGUGUCUUGUGGGCGAGUGGUUUGCUGAUGUCAACGUUGUGAACAGUGCCCCAUGGUGGUGGGGUUAUGUUUAGCUCUCACCGGGAAUGGAAGUACCCAGAGCCACAAACACCACGGCAGUGACAGUGUCCCUGAGACCGACGGUGCAGCCGAAGUGGGAGG